rnacentral:misc_RNA from 1 species
GAAAUGCGAUAAGUAAUGUGAAUUGCAGAAUUCAGUGAAUCAUCGAAUCUUUGAACGCACAUUGCGCCCGCCAGUAUUCUGGCGGGCAUGCCUGUUCGAGCGUCAUUUCAACCAUCAAGCCCCCGGCUUGUGUUGGGGACCUGCGGCUGCCCGCAGGCCCUGAAAAACAGUGGCGGGCUCGCUGUCACACCGAGCGUAGUAGCAUACAUUCUCGCUCAGGGCGUGCUGCGGGUUCCGGCCGUUAAACGACCUUCAUAACCCAAGGUUGACCUCGGAUCAGGUAGGAAGACCCGCUGAACGAAAGC